GUUUCCAGUAGCUUAGAAACAAGCACGGCCCUGAAGUUGCCGCGACGGAAGCCCCUCCUUCCCGGGGACA
rnacentral:tRNA from 1 species